CUUUAUGGAGAAAUGGCUUAAAGCAUACGUUCGCAUCCAAUGGCUAGUAAGCGAGUCAUUGCAGAAGGGGCUAUACCUACAUGAAUAGCAUCUUUAUAUAAAAAGAUUAGUUAUUUGGAUAACAGUGUUGUGUUCAACAUAGUGAGAGAGAAUUGUUUUGUGAAAAAUCUAAUAAGGAUUGUUUAAGAAGUCCGAAAACUGUUUCAAAAUGGAUUUGGAAAGUCGUUUGGAAAAUUAUUGUUAUAUAAAGCGUUUUUUAUCUUACAUUCGUGACAAACAUGGAGAAGAUAUAGCUGCCAAAGUAGAGAACUUUCUCGACAAUUACUGUUCUAAAAAAGAUAAAGAAUAUCUGGUUUCAGUUACAACCUACUAUACAGAGUAUAUAACGAAGAAAAAAUGAAAAAUGUUAGUCCUGUUUUAGAUUGUUAUGUAAUAAGUAAUAAACGUAGGUACAUACGUCCAAGCGGAAAGAAAAACAUACCUACUACAAAGUAUGAAUGGAACACUGUAAUGUUUCUUCCGGACAACUUGCCGGCUUUUAGUUUGUUUUGAAAGAAAAAGUCUAAAAGUUACAAUGCAAUGCAUCUUAUAUUCUUGAAAUUUUCAAUUUACUGUUGAGCAUGUACUUACUCGUUAUUAUAUAUAGUGAAGAUUUAAUUUUGCUGAACAGUGGCGUUUCUAUGGAACUGUUUGCAAUGCACUGACAUGGACUUUUUAAAACAGAAGAUACGAUAAUAUACAAUUCACAGUGUUAUACCUGUUAUGUAAUGUUCAGCGAAGUAAACUCUUUACCCUAUAAUACAGGCGAUCUUAAAAACUCUAAGUAAUGUAUUCAUAUAAUUUUUUUAAAAUUGAACAUAAGAUUAAAUAGUCUCAUGACUCAUGAGUAUUAUCUGUGUUAUGCGAUGUUCAGUAAAAUUAAAACCACAGUGUAUAUUCAAUUUAUAAAUAUUAAAUGUACCUACCUAAA